UUUUUUUUUUUUUACUUGUUGAAUAUGACGACUAAGGACUUCCAUUUGAUUCUGAAAGAAACAUGCAGCCAAAACCAGAGAAUUCAUCUAAAAAAUAAAUGAAACUUAGGUUGACUUCCUAGUAUCUCUCCCAAGGUUCAACCAUUUCUAAAGAAAAAAAAAAAAAUCCCACUGGGAAAAGAGGCACUAUGGUUAAGCUGAGAUUUCUUCUUUUUUAUUCACAAAAAGACAUGCUUGGAAAAGCAUUUAAAACUUCUGAGAAUUACUGCUUCUAUACUAUCAAUUUGUUGGGACACAAUUAUGAAUAAUAUCUGCAAGACAGUCAACUUGAAAUGCAUUUCUACUCCGCUAGUUCCUUGAGUCAGGUAGGUCUUGUUUUUUACAGAGAUGCUCUCUGCUCUACCCAAGAUUUAUUCAUAGUAGUUGGUCCAAAAUAAUUUCAGUCUCAACACUGAAGGUUUGAAGAUGCGUCUAAAACAGAAGAGCAGUCAUAUUAGCGGGUUUGCCUUUGAUGAAGUUAAUUUCCAAAAGCUUUUACGCCGACCCCAGAAAGAGAGUUUUAAAAAGAGACAACCGACUUUGUCUUUGAACCUCACUGAACUGAUUUUCUAUGUGAAGCUUAGGAAAAACUUAAAUAAUGUUGGCAGUAUUUAAUUCUUUACUAUGUGUUUCUACUCCUAUUGGAGCCAACAUAUAACAGCUGUUGUUUUACUUUCUGUACAAAUAUAAAAACACCUGCAAAGGAAAAUAAAUAAAGUGACCCGACCAUGAGUGUCUCUCCAUCACAAGUCAUGGCUCUGAAGGCAACAGGUAAAUCGCUAAAUUAUGCCUUCUGCUGCCAUGAGUCUUACGUCAUUGUCGUUAGAGGAUCUUCUUAAACUUACUACCAACUUGUGAACUAGAAUCUGGUGCUUCUUAAACAGAUUUGAUGUUUUUCUAGUUUAUUUCCACCUAUUUAGUGAGUUCAUUACAGCCCGCAUCAAUGACUAGAUACAUUUUUGUGCAACGUACAAGUUCAGCUAAGACAUGGAAACACCUAACUGUCUAUCGACAGAUGAGAGUGAAGAAGAUGCAUUGCAUAUAUACAAUGAAAUAUCACGCGGCAAUAAAAAAUAAUGACAUAAUGCCACUUGCAGCAACACGAACGGACCUAGAGAUUAUCAUACUGACGUCAGUCGGAGAAAGACAAAUACCAUAGGAUAGCACUUAUGUGUGGAAUCUAAAAAAUGAUACAGGAGUUCCUGCUGUGGCCCAGCAGUUAACGAAUCUGACCAGCAUCCAUGAGGAUGCAGGUCUGAUCCCUGGCCUCGAUCAGGGGGUUAAGGAUCCGGCAUUGUUGCCAUGAGCUGUGCAAUGCUGGAUACUUAACCCACUGAGCAAGGCCAGGGAUCAAACCCACAACCUCAUGGUUCCUAGUUGGAUUUGUUAACCACUGAGCCAUGAUGGGAACUCCUCUUUUUUUUGUUUUUUUUUUCCUAGCUGCAUUUGCAGCAUAUGGAAGUUCCCAGGCUAGGGGUCAAAUGGGAACUGCAGCUACCAGCCACAGCCACAUCCAUGCCAGACCCCAGCUUCAUCUUGAGGCAACACUAGAUCCUUUACCCACUGAGCAAGACCAGGGAUCGAUUGAACCCACAUCCUCGUGGGUACGGGUGAGGUUCUUAACCCACUGAGCCGCAGUGGGAACUCCUAAGGAACAGCUCUGUCAGAAAAGUCUGCCUUCUUUCAACACAGACACACCCAUAGUCUGUGUCUCCAGAAGUGGCCUGGAUGCAGAUGACAGCAUCAGCUGCUCUCAGGGGGUGGCUUGUAACGUACGGUGAGGUCACCUCCUCAGAUGACCAGAGACUUGUUCAAACAGCUGCAAUUAUCCAGUGUUACGAGCAGCAGGUUAUAACCCAGGUUAAGAUACAGACACUCUCGGAGGUCUAUUGUCUUAAAAUGAGGUGCUCCUAAUUAACGGAUGGUGAGGGUUUUCUCCCAGAUAACAAUGCUCCCUCAAGGAGGGCUUGUGUGCGUUCCGCAGACAGCGAAUGUGUGACUAAAGACAAACUCAGGUCCCAGCUGUCAGGAUUACCACACUGUAACUGCUCUUAAGUGAAGGCAUUUGUUUUAGAAAAGAUGAGAUGCAAUGUUCGGAACUGGUGGUUUAUGGAUACCUCCUGGUGUGAUGGGCUCUGUUAUACCUGGGUUUAUCUUCCUGAAAGACAAAUAAGAGGAAUGGGUUUUGCAGCAAAUGCAACAGCAGAAGGUGUCUUCUGAUCCACGAAAGAGGGUCCUUUACAGCCCGUGGAUGCAGCCCCCAAAAGUCCUCGCCGAGGCCCUUCACUGGCUUGCUCCUCUGAAGACGCAGACAGACUGGGCACUCUGUCCCCCGGGCCAUCCGUCUUGACCCUGCCCGCCACCGACAGCUCAGUUCACCAGAAUGCAUCCCACGGAGGUGCCCUGGGUGCGGUUCACGUUGCCCCUGGUAACGGCACCAUUGAUGACGCUGUGGAUGUGGAGAAGGUGGCGCCCUGCCUUGGACGAAUGGCUCUAUUGUGUCUUGUGACAAUUGAUUUCCCUUUUGCCGAGCACACAGGCUGGAGCUAUCUGAGGCCACUGUAUUAAUGACCAAGUGGCUUCUACCAGAUGAAGAAUGGCGGAGGACACUCCCCUUCCAGAGGACAAAGGGCCCUGCCUGUGAAAUACAGCUGGAAACAUGACCUCCUCUGCAGCCAAGGUCUUGCCUCCAGGCUGAAGGGCGGCCAACGGCCCGGGUGUUUCUGCGACGGAUUUAGGGCUUCCCUGAAAGAAAAUCUGGUGACGGGUGGUAUUUUUAAGAAGCACAACUUUAAGUGGGGCGUCUAGGAGGCCAAAGGGGAGGAAACGGUCCUGAGACUUGACUGGGCGGCAGGCACCUUGAUUUAGUCCUUGCCAUAAGCCUGCCCGGCAUCUCGGGCUCAUCAGCCCAUCGGCAGGUGAAGAAACGGAAGAGGAUAAAUAAGGCCAACUAGGGGACCGGGAAAGUCACGCCUGCCAGCUCCAAAGCCAGGGCUCCCACAGCACUUCCUCAAGGACUUCCGCUGAACCUGACAGCUCACCCUGGACAGGGAAGGCGUCUGUGAGCCGUGGUCUUCCCAGAGAACCUACUGCCUGCCCUCCCCAGGGCUCUGGACCCCACCCCUAGAAUGCCCGCUGCCGCUCAAGUUCAAGUACAACUGUGCCAUUUCCAGCCUAAAGCCCUUCAUGGCCUCGGGAUUAAAUCUUGACCCUUCACAUGGCAUAAAGGUCGUUUGUGAGGAGUCUGUGCCAUCCUUGUGCCCCAGCUCUGCGUCCACCUCCAGGCUUGGGCAGCAACCCCGGCCCAUGAGCAGGGACGCUGCACCCCUCUUACCGGCCCCCACCCAGGACUGCAGUGCCCCAAGCCACUCCAGGCCUCAUCCCCUCUGGGGAGAGGUCACACGAUCUUUUCUGUUUGCUGUUUUAUCUCCUGCAGCACAGAGCGGGGGAUCCACCACCAUCUACGGUGGAAUUAAUGAAGCUCUUCCAAACCCAUCGCUUUCCUUAAUUAUCACGAAACGUCCGCAGGUGUAGCUGCAUCCAUGUCCAAUUCCCAGAAGAUGCAAAGGUCUCAGGCUACUUAUAUCAAAUUCUUACUCUGAAGACCUCACUGUGUCAGGGGAGGUCCAAUCACUUGUUUUCCCAUCAUUGACUUUCAAUUGUUAGGAACCAUUUAAGUUUUCUUUAAAAUUGCUCUGUUAAGAAGGUAGAGACGUCUAAUAUAUGAGGUAUCUGUACACCAGAAAUGUCACUAUUCCGAGUGCCCUUUUAAUGUGGCUUUAGUAUGGCUGCCUGUUAAUAUUGUAUAUACGCUGUAUUGGCUUUAUGUUAAUAAUAAAAAUUUAGAUUCCAUAUUUUGUUUAAAAAAGCAUUGUAGGAAAAACAGCAUCAAAAAAAAAUUUUUUUUUUCUUUUUCAGCUGCACCUGUGGCAUAUGGAGGUUCCCAGGCUAGGGGUUGAAUUGGAGCUGCAGCCGCCAGCCUACACCACAGCCACAGCCACAGCCACACCACUUCCGAGCCACAUCUGCAACCUACACUAUGGCUCACAGCAAUGCUGGAUCCUUAACCCACUAAGCGAGGCCAGGGAGUGAACCCACAUCCUCAUGGAUACUAGUUGGGUUUGUGACCACUAAGCCAUGACUGGAAUUCCCAGCAGCAAAAUAGUUUAAAGUUUAUGAGCUUACUAUUCAAACAAUGAGCAUCUUUUUCUAGAAGUAAAAUGAAUA
rnacentral:lncRNA from 1 species